AUGGAUCCGGCCGGCGUCAACGGCGGCGUGUGGAUCCGCGCGGCGGUGGCCGUCGCGGCGGGCGGCGCGAUCGCGGCGCGCGCGGUCCGGCGCAAGUCCGUCGACUUCACCGCCGUCUUCGCGGGCGUCCCGGCCAUGGUGGCCCACACCGUCGCCGGGUACAGGUUCGCGGGGCUGCUCCUGGUGUUCUUCUUCACGGCGUCGAGGGUGACGAGGACCGGCGAGGCGAGGAAGCGUGCGCUUGAUCCUGAGUUCAAAGAGGGGGGGCAGCGCAACUGGAAGCAAGUCUUGUCAAAUAGUGGUAUCGCAAGUAUCUUGGUAGUCCUGAUAGCACUAAUUACUGGAGGUGAAGACAAAUGCUUGGAUUCAAAAGAGUCGGGUCUUGUAACUGCCCUUAUUGGUGGUGUUAUUGGACAUUACUCUUGCUGCAAUGGUGAUACAUGGUCUUCUGAGCUUGGCAUACUUAGCAAAUCUGAACCACGAAUUAUCACAACAUUCAAGAGGGUGCGGAAGGGGACCAAUGGCGGGGUAACCAUAGAUGGACUUCUUGCAGCAGCAGCAGCUGGAUGCUCGAUUGGGCUUGCAUUUGUGCUACUAGGAUUCUUAACAACCCAGUGUGCUUCUGAUGUAUUUUGGAGGCAACUGCUAGUUAUACCCUUAGCUACAGCUGCUGGCCUAUGUGGAAGCCUGAUCGAUUCAUUACUGGGCGCAACAGUUCAGUACAGCGGAUACUGCCGCGUUCGCAAGAAGGUGGUUGGAGUAGAUGGUCCAACAGUAACGAGGAUUUCUGGAAUGAAUAUACUGGACAACAACGGCGUCAAUGUAGUGUCUAUCUUCUUGACGAGUCUGCUUACUGCCUUGGUGUGCACAUGCAUUUUCUGA
rnacentral:rRNA from 1 species